rnacentral:rRNA from 1 species
AACGAACGCUGGCGGCAGGCUUAACACAUGUAAGUCGAACGCCCCGCCAGGGGAGUGGCCGCCGGGUGAGUAACGCGUGGGAACAUACCCUUUCCUGCGGAAUAGCUCCGGGAAACUGGAAUUAAUACCGCAUACGCCCUACGGGGGAAAGAUUUAUCGGGGAAGGAUUGGCCCGCGUUGGAUUAGCUAGUUGGUGGGGUAAAGGCCUACCAAGGCGACGAUCCAUAGCUGGUCUGAGAGGAUGAUCAGCCACAUUGGGACUGAGACACGGCCCAAACUCCUACGGGAGGCAGCAGUGGGGAAUAUUGGACAAUGGGCGCAAGCCUGAUCCAGCCAUGCCGCGUGAGUGAUGAAGGCCUUAGGGUUGUAAAGCUCUUUCACCGAUGAAGAUAAUGACGGUAGUCGGAGAAGAAGCCCCGGCUAACUUCGUG